rnacentral:lncRNA from 1 species
CGGCAGAUCAAACGGGCAGCACCACUUCAGAGGGCCAGCGACGCCUGCAGCAACCGGUUGAUGCCCUCGUAUCUUUGAAUUUUGUCCCAAACCAUGGUCAGUCAGGAAUGCUACAGAAUUCCUCACUGGAGGCAGUCCUUGCCAGCAGAGAGAACACCACUGGAAUUCCCAAGAUCCACCCAGACGGGUCACACUGCAGGGUCACUGUUUCAUGCUGCUCAUCUGCUCUCAUACAAGGACCACUGCCACAAACAGGUUUUUUAUGAUCAGGAAUUAAAAGAAUUCUGA